rnacentral:rRNA from 1 species
CAGCAGCCGCGGUAAUACGUAGGGUCCGAGCGUUGUCCGGAAUUACUGGGCGUAAAGAGCUCGUAGGUGGUUUGUCGCGUUGUUCGUGAAAACUCACAGCUCAACUGUGGGCGUGCGGGCGAUACGGGCAGACUAGAGUACUGCAGGGGAGACUGGAAUUCCUGGUGUAGCGGUGGAAUGCGCAGAUAUCAGGAGGAACACCGGUGGCGAAGGCGGGUCUCUGGGCAGUAACUGACGCUGAGGAGCGAAAGCGUGGGGAGCGAACAGGAUUAGAUACCCCCGUAGUCCCUGUCUCUUAUAC